rnacentral:misc_RNA from 1 species
AGGAGCCGUAUGAGGUAAUUCCUCACGUACGGAUCUGUGCGGGGGGUGCCGGGUAACCGGCAUUCCUACCGCGAC